AUCCUGGCUCAGAUUGAACGCUGGCGGCAUGCCUUACACAUGCAAGUCGAACGGUAGAGUAGCAAUACUUGAGAGUGGCGAACGGGUGAGUAAUAUAUCGGAACGUGCCCAGUCGUGGGGGAUAACGUAGCGAAAGCUACGCUAAUACCGCAUACGAUCUAUGGAUGAAAGCGGGGGAUCGCAAGACCUCGCGCGAUUGGAGCGGCCGAUAUCAGAUUAGGUAGUUGGUGAGGUAAAGGCUCACCAAGCCGACGAUCUGUAGCUGGUCUGAGAGGACGACCAGCCACACUGGGACUGAGACACGGCCCAGACUCCUACGGGAGGCAGCAGUGGGGAAUAUUGGACAAUGGGCGAAAGCCUGAUCCAGCCAUGCCGCGUGUGUGAAGAAGGUCUUCGGAUUGUAAAGCACUUUAAGUUGGGAGGAAGGGUAGUAACCUAAUACGUUGCUACUUUGACGUUACCGACAGAAUAAGCACCGGCUAACUUCGUG
rnacentral:rRNA from 1 species